AAUGCGGAGGAGCUCCUAGCACUAUGCAAAAAGUGGAUUUCGUGAAUUUUCAGUUUUUUGGAGUAGACUACCUGCAACCGCACACAUACGUUUAUGAGAUACACGUUUCUUCCUAGGUUAAGGGUCUAAUUGUAAAAUAAAUGUGUUUGAUUGAAUAAUCAAUCCUAAUCUAACUGUCGUGGUCAUACAUCUGGACUCUUCAUCAUCAUCAUCAACACUUUGAAUUACAUAGGAAUAUUACUGUAGCAACUGGUUGCUAAGGGAACGAGACACCACCAUUAUCCUCUUGUUGUGUGACUGAGAGGCGGGAUUGGAAAAGUGCACGAGGAGGGGUGGGAAGCGGAGACUGAGCGUGGUUGAAAUUCCACCAAAUGGAUAAGAGGCAGACAAAGUUUGACACGUUUAUGUUUUCAGUGGUUGGCCGACACGUAUGAACGAGUAAACGCUGCUUUUAGCCUAGUGGAAGUAUCACAAAUGAAUACCUCCGUAUUAUUUAUUCACUGCACUGAAUCUCCACGAGGGCACAAGUCCGCCUGACAAUUUUUGAGUAAAGAGAGGCAGCGCGGGAGAGCUCACUUGUAGCCUGGCAGGUAUGUUCUGCUAUUUUGAAUAAAGCAAGCCAUACAUGUCACAUAAGUUUUAGGCUAUUAUUAUUUUUAGUAUAGCUAACUAAAUAAAUGAAGCUAUCUAACAGCAACGCUGUUGUGAGCUUUCACAUGUAAUUAACUACAACCAGGAGCCUAUAAUGAAUGAAGUCAGCUUUUCAGUCAGUCCUAUCGUUUAUAUUAAACAUAGGUUAUUAUAACACAAGGUAAACACACAUUUACAAUAAUUGUUAGGUCUAUGUUAUUAGCUUAAAAUGUACGGAUACAAGUACAGAAACAUAGCCAGAGGCAUUCUAGGCUACACUGCAAUUAACACUACUUAUUAUACACGCUAUGUUCUACAGUGCUGUUCUGAUUCUAAAAACUCGGUUGUUUGCCAUAAAGUCUUAUUAUCUCUGUCUCUAUCACAGACAUGCAUGACCAAGGAAGAUAGGCGACAUAAACAGCCGCCAGCAGCGUCACUAUCCCUCUACCUAACACACUGAGUUGACCUCCUCAGUGCUUGUGUGACGGGUGGUGAGGGUGAAGAAGGAGGGAGAGUUUAUCA
rnacentral:lncRNA from 1 species